UAGAAAGUAACUCCUUUGUGAGUGAUUUUAGAAUUAGCAUAGAGAAAACAUUUUUGCGAGUGAAUUUCUCUAUGCUUUUAUUAUAUCA
rnacentral:antisense_RNA from 10 species